rnacentral:rRNA from 1 species
CCUACGGGGGGCAGCAGUGGGGAAUAUUGGGCAAUGGAGGCAACUCUGACCCAGCAAUGCCGCGUGAGUGAUGAAGGUAAUUUUAUUGUAAAGCUCUUUUCUUUGGAACGAAUAAAUGACGGUACCAAAGGAAUAAGCCCCGGCUAACUACGUGCAAGCAGCCGCGGUAAUACGUAGGGGGCAAGCGUUGUUCGGAAUGACUGGGCGUAAAGGGUGGGUAGGUGGUUUGAUAAGUUAGAUGUGUAAUACCCAGGGCUUAACUCGGGUGCUGCAUCUAAAACUGUUAGACUUGAGUACAGGAGAGGUAAGCGGAAUUCCUAGUGUAGCGGUGAAAUGCGUAGAUAUUAGGAGGAACACCAGUGGCGAAGGCGGCUUACUGGACUGUAACUGACGUUGAGGCUCGAAAGCGUGGGGAGCAAACAGGAUUAGAUACCCCUGUAGUC